GUGCUCGCUUCGGCAGCACAUAUACUAAAAUUGGAAUGAUACAGAGAAGAUUAGCAUGGCCCCUGCGCAAGGAUGACACGUAUUUAUAAAUUGUAUGAUAAGUACUG
rnacentral:snRNA from 1 species